CUGAAGCCGUUUUGUCAGUGUAGUUUUACACUCUUCGGAUAAUGAUCCCGUACCACUCUCGAGAACAGUCAACAGACAGGAAAAUUGUUUUCCGUGUGCA